GACGUAGGAUGCAAGCGUUGUCCGGAUUUAUUGGGCGUAAAGAGUUCGUAGGUGGUUUGUUAAGUCUGAUGUUAAAGACCGGGGCUCAACCUCGGAAGUGCAUUGGAUACUGGCAGACUCGAGUAUGGUAGAGGCGAGUGGAAUUCCCAGUGUAGCGGUGAAAUGCGUAGAUAUUGGGAAGAACACCGGUGGCGAAGGCGGGUCUCUGGGCCGUUACUGACGCUGAGGAGCGAAAGCGUGGGGAGCGAACAGG
rnacentral:rRNA from 1 species